rnacentral:rRNA from 1 species
AAGUCGGCAAAACGGAUCUGUAACCUUGGGAAAAGGAUUGGCUCUGAGGGCUGACCCGGUCGGGCUAGGGUCCAGAAGUAGGAUAUGGCACUGCACCGGGACUGCGUGAGGCUCGCCGCCGUAAAAGGCGGUGCGGCCGAGCCCGGACCAGCGUCAGGACCUUCCUGUGGAAAGCCACAGCUGUGCAUUUUCCGUGGGCUUCGCGCCUGAGGUUCUUGCUUCGGCCGGCAGAAAACAGCCAACUCAGAACUGGCACGGACCGGGGGAAUCCGACUG